rnacentral:lncRNA from 1 species
UAUGCAACCAGGACCGCGUACACUGUUCCACAAUGGCUGAAAGAAGUUUCGUUAAAAAGCCCCAGUUCGUCGUUUCUCAGACUAAGAAACAUCCAUCUUCCAGCACUAAGAAUGAGAGGUCUAAGAGGGGUCAAACAACACCUCAGACAAAAUCUGCCUCUGGUCCCACAGAGAGGUUCACAGGUGACCUGUUAUCUAAGGAAGAACAAUACAAACUUUUAAAUGCAGAGUUGGAAGCCAAGACAGCAGAUCUGGUGAGACAGGCAGAACAACUUAUGAGAGAACAGAAUGAAGUUCUGUCAAAGCCCUUAUCCACCCUAUUGCUCACGGAUUUUGACGAUGAAGAGGAAUCAAGGCAAUAAGUAUUAUAUAUUUAAAACUGAGAAGAAUCAUUGUAGAUCCACAUUUAUUCCAGUGAAA